rnacentral:lncRNA from 1 species
GGGUGGAAGUAUAAAGGAGUUGUAGUGCAGAAAAAUCAACUAGAAUGCACAAAAGUCAACAUAUAACCAGAAAAGUCAACCAAAAAAGUCAACCAGUCAACCAGAAUGCUGAAAAGUCAACCAGGCAGCAGUUGAAGCGUGAAAGGGGAAGAAAAGAGACAUUGGACGGUGCUGGUAGUGGUUGUAGAGAAGAAGGAUGGAGGCGGCCUGAUUGAACGAUGCAAACUACAUUACCGACGGAUUUACCAACGAAUUUUUUCCUUUGGUAAAUGCAAACUACAUUACCGAUGGAUUUACCGUCGAUAAUUUCAAGAUUUUUUGUACUAUGCUAUAUUACAU